rnacentral:rRNA from 1 species
GACAGAGGUGCCGAGCGUUAGGCGGAAUCACUGGGCUUAAAGCGUGUGUAGGCGGAUCGUUAAGUACCUUGUGAAAUCCCACGGCUCAACCGUGGAACUGCUGGGUAUACUGGCGAUCUUGAGCAGCUUAGGGGCAGACGGAACAAGUGGUGGAGCGGUGAAAUGCGUAGAUAUCACUUGGAACGCCGACGGUGAAAACAGUCUGCUGGGAGCUGCUGACGCUGAGACACGAAAGCCAGGGAGGCGAACGGG